ACAGCAUGGCAUAUAUAAAGAGAAGAGAUAUAUUUAUUCAACUCCAUUACUUCCCAGAGACUCCAAGGUUUAAUCCUUUGAUCCGACAUCUCCUUCGAAUCUGCUCUGAUGCUCCUGUGAUGUGAAAUUUGAGAGCACUCUUCUUCUAGAAGUGAGGUGGUUUCUGUGCCCUUUGAAGUUGUCUAUUGAAGUUUUGAUGUCAACACAGAACUGUAGAGAGGAGAAUCAUAUUAGACCUUUCUUAGGGCACAGAGUGAAUUGACUUAAAUAUGAGUUAUCUGUUAA